rnacentral:rRNA from 1 species
CCUACGGGGGGCAGCAGUGAGGAAUAUUGCGCAAUGGGGGCAACCCUGACGCAGCAACGCCGCGUGUGGGAAGAAGGCGUUUCGGGUUGUAAACCACUUUUGCCCGGGACGAAAAGGGGCGUCAGAAUACGGCGCUCCGAUGACGGUACCGGGAGAAUAAGCCACGGCUAACUCUGUGCC